rnacentral:tRNA from 1 species
GGGGUUGUGGCUCAGUGGUAGAGCGCUUGCCUGGCACAUGCAAGGCCCUGGGUUUGAGCCUCAGCACCACA